UACGUAGGGGGCAAGCGUUAUCCGGAUUUACUGGGUGUAAAGGGAGCGUAGACGGCUGUGCAAGCCAGAUGUGAAAGCCCGGGGCUCAACCCCGGGACUGCAUUUGGAACUGUGUAGCUGGAGUGUCGGAGAGGCAGGCGGAAUUCCUAGUGUAGCGGUGAAAUGCGUAGAUAUUAGGAGGAACACCAGUGGCGAAGGCGGCCUGCUGGACGAUGACUGACGUUGAGGCUCGAAAGCGUGGGGAGCAAAUAGG
rnacentral:rRNA from 1 species